rnacentral:rRNA from 1 species
UCAGAAUGAACGCUGGCGGCAUGGAUUAGGCAUGCAAGUCGCACGAGAAUCCCGCCUUCGGGCGGGAGGACAGUGGCGAACGGGUGAGUAACACGUGAGCAUCUGCCUCCGGGUCGGGGACAGCCCGCGGAAACGCGGAUUAAUACCCGACGGUCCCUUCGGGGCAAAGAGGAAUCGCCCGGAGAUGAGCUCGCGGCCCAUCAGCUUGUUGGCGGGGUAACGGCCCACCAAGGCGACGACGGGUAGGUGGUCUGAGAGGAUGGUCACCCACACUGGGACUGAGACACUGCCCAGACUCCUACGGGAGGCUGCAGUCGAGAAUCAUCCGCAAUGGGCGAAAGCCUGACGGUGCAAUGCCGCGUGGGGGAUGAAGGCCUUCGGGUCGUAAACCCCUGUCAGAAGGGACGAAGCAAGUGACGGUACCUUCAGAGGAAGCCACGGCUAACUACGUGCCAGCAGCCGCGGUAACACGUAGGUGGCGAGCGUUAUUCGGAUUUACUGGGCGUAAAGGGUCCGCAGGGGGUUUGCCAAGUCCGGUGUGAAAGUCCAGGGCUCAACCCUGGAACUGCGCCGGAUACUGGUGAACUGGAGUGCGCGAAGGGCAGGCGGAAUUCCUGGUGUAGCGGUGGAAUGCGUGGAUAUCAGGAAGAACACCGACGGCGAAAGCAGCCUGCUGGCGCGCCACUGACCCUCAUGGACGAAAGCGUGGGUAGCGAACAGGAUUAGAUACCCUGGUAGUCCACGCCGUANACGGUGCAGACCCGAUGCGGGGGGCAGCCCCCUCCGUGUCCAAGCCAACGCGUUAAGUCUGCCGCCUGGGGACUACGGUCGCAAGGCUAAAACUCAAAGGAAUUGACGGUGGCCCGCACAAAGCGGUGGAGCAUGUGGCUCAAUUCGAGGCAAAGCGAAGAACCUUACCCGGACUUGACAUCGAAGCGACCGGCGUGUAAACACGCCUUUCCCUUCGGGGACGCGAA